ACUAAAUUCAAAACAUUUGAAUUUUCUUAACAAUCAGUUAUUAUUAUUAUUAUUUUUUUUUUUUUUUGAAAUCAUAUUACUCUUAUUGCAAUAUCCUUGAUAUAUGAUACAAGUUUUUUGUGUGCCAUUUUAUUUUUAAAUAAAUCGCGAAAAGUACAUUUUUUGCCUCUACGGUCGAAGCGCUGAUUAAUUUACCAAAAUUUUUAAAUCAGCGUGUGUUUUGAUUGACGAACAAGCAGCAGUUUAACCGCAUACUUAGGGACUGCUAGACAAAUGAGUGAAUUCCUGCGUAGUUUUCUGACCGUAAAGGAAACAUGGAUCCACUGACAUGCACUAGAGAUUAAGAAACACUCUAAAUAGUAGACUACAUCGAUGAACGUACUCCAAAAACCACGAAGACUGUCUUAUUGAUGGCUACUAUUUUGUUAGGCUUACAGGGUUUGCUCUACAUCGAACAACUCAUAAAGAACAAAACAAUCAUAGGACUUUACUUGUAUAAAGGACCAAUUACAUUUGGUAAAGAGAAAAGUGCUCUUACACCAAGGCUUCAGAGGUGUUAUUAAAAGUUUGACCAUCGCUUUUUGUUGUCAAAAUCCAUAUGGAAACUUCGAAAUAAUAUAUAAAUUCCUAAGAAAAUGUCACAUAAAAAUCUGAAAUGUGAAAUGUAAAUGUAUUUAUUUUAUUUUUUACAAUUUAUAUUAACUGGGCUAAAUUGGAAAAAAUCAUGGGAUGAUGGUCGAAACGGUAAUCGAAAUCCGAUCCUGUGUAGGGAUUUUUCGUUCGUGUUGCCUAUCAUGGACUAUUAUUAACCUUGGAAAGAUGCCAACAUUUAAGAUCACCAAAACAUCUACUGGGAGGCGAAGUCAUCGAAAUUAUUAUUACUGUUAUAUUUUUGUUUUUGAGUUUCAAACCAUAAGUACAUUUCACACAAUACCUUCUUUGCGUAGAACACUAAAGCCAUAAGGCAAUUAUGGUUGAAUUGCCCAAUUUUUCUUUCUUUAAACUCAGCCAAAAUAAAGUAAAGUAUUUCCUGAAAA